GACGAACGCUGGCGGCGUGCCUAAUACAUGCAAGUCGAGCGAGACUCUUCGGAGUCUAGCGGCGGACGGGUGAGUAACACGUGGGCAACCUGCCUGUAAGACUGGGAUAACACCGGGAAACCGGUGCUAAUACCGGAUAAUCCUUUUCUUCUCAUGAGGAAAAGUUGAAAGUCGGUUUCGGCUGACACUUACAGAUGGGCCCGCGGCGCAUUAGCUAGUUGGUGAGGUAACGGCUCACCAAGGCGACGAUGCGUAGCCGACCUGAGAGGGUGAUCGGCCACACUGGGACUGAGACACGGCCCAGACUCCUACGGGAGGCAGCAGUAGGGAAUCUUCCACAAUGGACGAAAGUCUGAUGGAGCAACGCCGCGUGAGCGAUGAAGGCCUUCGGGUCGUAAAGCUCUGUUGUUAGGGAAGAACAAGUACCGGAGUAACUGCCGGUACCUUGACGGUACCUAACCAGAAAGCCACGGCUAACUACGUGCCAGCAGCCGCUGUAAGAC
rnacentral:rRNA from 1 species